rnacentral:tRNA from 1 species
GGUGGCUCAGUGGUAGAGUGUUUGCCUUGCGUGCGAAAGGCCCUGGGUUUGAUUCCUCAGCACCA